rnacentral:lncRNA from 1 species
AAUUGUUUCUACAUCGAGGCUUGAAUUUUUUUUCCAAAUUAGUCUUUGAUAUUUCCUUCAGAAUCCUAAAGUUUAGGGCCUAAUGUAGAAACAAUUGUCAAGUUCGGGUACUAACUUAGACAAAAAAAAGUGUAAGCCUUAAUGUGGGAACGGACGCCUAGUUCAAACCCAAACGUGAGAACAAUUGACAAGUUUAAGACCUAACUUAGAUAACAAUAAAAAAAGAAUAAUAAUUUAACCCAAUAAAUAACUCAAAUGACCUAAACAUGUAAUAACUCAACCCCAAGUUGACCUGAAUUAAAAUGAUUCAAAAAAUUUAUAACCUAAAUUGACGUGAUC